UACGUAGGGUGCAAGCGUUGUCCGGAAUUAUUGGGCGUAAAGAGCUCGUAGGCGGUCUGUCGCGUCGGCUGUGAAAACCCGGAGCUCAACUCCGGGCCUGCAGUCGAUGCGGGCAGACUGGAGUUCGGCAGGGGAGACUGGAAUUCCUGGUGUAGCGGUGAAAUGCGCAGAUAUCAGGAGGAACACCGGUGGCGAAGGCGGGUCUCUGGGCCGAUACUGACGCUGAGGAGCGAAAGCGUGGGGAGCGAACAGG
rnacentral:rRNA from 1 species